UACGUAGGGUGCGAGCGUUAUUCGGAAUUACUGGGCGUAAAGCGUGCGCAGGCGGUUUUGUAAGUCAGUUGUGAAAUCCCCGGGCUCAACCUGGGAACUGCAUCUGUGACUGCAUAGCUAGAGUACGGUAGAGGGGGAUGGAAUUCCGCGUGUAGCAGUGAAAUGCGUAGAUAUGCGGAGGAACACCGAUGGCGAAGGCAAUCCCCUGGACCUGUACUGACGCUCAUGCACGAAAGCGUGGGGAGCAAACAGG
rnacentral:rRNA from 1 species